GUACGCAGCGCGAGCGAGGACCCUUUGAAGACUACAUUGUAAGUUGUAGUGCACAACACCUGAAAAUAUUGCAAUGUCCUACAUCUUUAUGACCUAACUUGUUAAGUAGUUUGUAGAAUUUUUAUGGCAUAAUAACUUGUGCGACCUAUGCAUUUGCAGGGGCAGCAACUUAGUCGUUUUGAUAACGAGGCGGGACAAGCGUUGAGGGUGCCAAUAGGAUCUCCGGAUGAGGCCACUGUGCUGAGGGGAUUCUUACAGAGGUUUAGACGGGGUUGCCGAAAAAUGGCAUUCAAACUGAACUGCAUAGCGGGACAAGGACAACCAGCGGCCGAUGAUGGUGAACCUUCCGGGUCACGCCAUCGCGGUACAAGAAGCACGAGUACUUCAUUGGGCACCUCAUCUACAGGAGGACGUCGCAGCCGAUC